rnacentral:sRNA from 1 species
CUUUGUCUCUUCUUGUUCUUCGUACUAACUUUUUCUUGGUGGGUUUUCCCUAACCAAAAACUUAAGAUGCUUAAGAAAUGUGGGUUAGAAGGGCCAACCCCAAGUUUUCCACUUGGGAACAUUGAAGAGAUGAAAAGAAAGAGUAUCAUUAAAUCUUCAGUUGUUUCCUCGAAUCUCCCACACGAUAUACACUCUUACGUUUUCCCUUACUUCUCUACCUGGCAGAAGUCACAUGGCAAGGUGUUCUUGUAUUGGUUGGGCACGGAGCCGUUUUUGUACAUUGCAGAGCCAG